rnacentral:rRNA from 1 species
UACGUAGGGUGCAAGCGUUGUCCGGAAUUAUUGGGCGUAAAGGGCUCGUAGGCGGUCUGUCGCGUCAGGAGUGAAAACUCGGGGCUUAACCCCGAGCCUGCGUCUGAUACGGGCAGACUAGAGGUAUGCAGGGGAGAACGGAAUUCCUGGUGUAGCGGUGAAAUGCGCAGAUAUCAGGAGGAACACCGGUGGCGAAGGCGGUUCUCUGGGCAUUACCUGACGCUGAGGAGCGAAAGUGUGGGGAGCGAACAGG